UUAGUUUUCGUUCAUUGAGUUAGUAGAUUGACCAUGGAUAACUAUUUCAGUAAUUUAAUUUAAAAUGUGGGAAUAAUUUUUUAACUCUGUAGAAUGAAAAAUGCAAUUUAGAUUCUUAUCCGCUCUUUCAAAAUGGCGGGUCAGAAUAUAUAAAUAUAUCAGUAUUAAGAAAAGAAAUAGUAAUGUUUUAAAAUUAGUAAAUUUUAAAAUUUUAAGUUAUUUAUUUUUCAUUUCACCUAAAUAUUGAUAUAUGUUAUAUCUAAUUAUUUAUUUAUUCUAUUAAUAAUAACUAAUUGGUCAAAUAAACAGUUACACAACAUUUUUCAAAAGAAUCUGAACUGACAUGUGGCAGUUUGUUGUUUGUUACUGGUUACAGUUUUGAUUUUAUAAAAAUUAUAUUUUUUAAAAAUAUAAAACAAAAAUAUAUCCGUCUUUUUAAGGAGGCAUCAUAAGUGGGUUGGUGGAUUUUGGAUCGCAGCUACCCAUUGACCCGCAAAGUAUUUAAAAGGUAAAAAUUAAAAAGUAAAAAUUAAAAAGUAAAUAUUUUUAAAAAUACAAGAAUUUAAAAAUAAUAAUUUAAAAUUUAAAUAAUGUAUAAAUUUUCUAUUAUAAAUAUAUUUUUAUAAUAAAUAAAUUAAAUAUUGAUUUUUAAAAUAUAUAUAACCAAUAGAUAACCACAAAAUUAAGUGGAGUGGGUGCAUGUACCAAAUUAUUUGUUUGCGAGUUGUGCCGGUCAUAUUUUUCUAACCAAAACAAAAUUGAAAAUCCGCGGGUUGGCGGGUCUGCGGGCGAGUUCGACCCGCAACCCAUCCUUAACCGUACGUAUACCGGAUCAAUUUUUAAAUUGCUAUUACUUAAUAAAAUAUAUUUUGAUUAAAAUUUAUACACGAAUAUGAUUAAAAAAAUACAAAUAUAAUCAGAAAAUACAAAUAUACACGACAAUAGCUGGAAAAGACAAGUUUUUUUAAUAGUUUACUUAAUUAAAUUUUCAGUGGCAUUAGGUUGUAAAUAUUGUGCAAUUCUUAGGGUUAGUUUAUAUUUGUACUUCUGUUUUAAUAAAGUAGAUAAAUGUGGUUAUUAAUUUGGAUUAUUUAAUGUAUUAUUGUUGAUUAAUAACAUAUAUUUUCCGUAACAAAAUGUGCAUAUAGUUUCAAAAAAAAAGUGCUGUAAUUAUUAUACAUAUUUAAAUCGACAUAUAUCAAUAGUUUAUUUGUACAUUUUCAUAAAUUUUGCAGUUAUGGAUCCUAGAAUAUAGGAAUUAAAGGAAAACAAUUAUAAAAUAUUUGGUUUUUUUUUAAUAAGCCCCGACCAUUAUGGAACUAAAAGGUGGUUACAAAAUAUUUAUUUAGAUUCAGUUAUAGAAUAUAUGAUUUUUUUAUUGUGGAAAAAAUAAUUGUUGGACAUAACCCCAUAAGAAUUAAUAGUAUUGAUUAUUGAUUAGAGCCCAUUAUAGGUUCUUACCAAUGGACUUGCUCUUAUGAAUGUUUUUAGAAAGGUCGUCAAUUUCUUCUUUGACUUUUGUUUAGUACGCACAACUCUCAUAAUUCCUUUGUACAAGAGGGUGAUAUUCUGGUCGCUGCUAUGAGGACAGGGCCGGCCCUGGGCUAAAGCCCAUAAAGCAAGGGCUUUAGGCGCCAGGUUUUAUAUAUGUUACAAGGGCGCCAAAUUGUUUAUAUCUCUCUGUGGCCUAGUGGUUUGUUCUCUUCUCCUCUUGUCCUUCAGGUUCACAGGGCAAUUAGUGUUUCAAGCUGUUGGAAAAACUGCAGUAGUCUCACCAACUUGAAGUAUUUGGGCUGUUUGGAAGAUUACACCGCUAGGAAAAUCGUGAGUUACCUCAAGAAUCUCAAGAGGUUGAGUUUGCGAUGCUCUUUCGUCAAAACUACAGUACAGGAUUAUUAUUGCUAAUCACAGGCCUCCAAAACCUCAUGACCCUUAAUCUGUCACAUUGCAAAGACUUGGGUCGGUACGGUGUCCCAUUUCCUAUUGACAAUCAUGUACAAGCCGCCGCUCAGAAGCUUGAAAAGUUCAUCACAUGUACUCUAAGGUUACAGCUUCUGCAAAGAGCAAUAUAGCUUCUCCUGGUCUAAGCAUUGGCGAGAUGAUGAGAUAGAUGAAAUUGGCGAGAUGAUGAGAUAGAUGAAAUUGAAUUCUAAAAUUUUCUAAGCUUUGUUGAUGUUUGGCUGGUGAUGAAUGUGUAUCUUUACUGGUUCACCGAUAUUUAAUUCGCUCCAAAAUCAACAAUGAUUAUGUUUCAUUUCAUGUUUGUCUUUUUAUA